UGUUUAGUAAGAAGCAAAACCAAAAAUUAAAAAUGCCUUUCCACACCCCUCUCCUCUCCCCAGGCUUUACUUUAAUCCUGAUUCUCUACCUCCUCCUCUCAGCAGUACAGGGGGAUGAGAAAUGGAAGCUGGAGUCAAUCCAGAACAUUGUUUUUGAUGCUGCAUCCUCCGCUCAAUGUUCUCCUGCUCAACAUGGGUCCUUCCCAGGGGCUCCAGUUCUUCAGAAACAGACUCCAGUCCCUUCCACAGGGCCACAAGUCCUUCCAACACAUCUUCUCCAGCAUGGAGUCCUGUCUCCACAGCUUCAGAGGUCCAGCAGGGGCUUCAGAAGCCCAGCAUGGGUUCCCAGGGGAUCACAACCUCCUUUGGGCAUUCCCUUGCUCCACGGUGGGGUCCUCCGCUGGCUGCAGGUGGAUUUCUGCUCCACCAUGGGCCUCCAUGGGCUGGGCUUGGGGGGGAACACUGCUUCACCAUGGUCUUCACCACUGACUGCAGGAGAAUCUCUGCCCUGGUGCCCAGAGUACUUCCUCCCCUUCCUUCUUCUUCUUCUUCACUAUACAUUUAUAAACAUUGAAGCUAUGGCCUGACCUAUUGAAGACUUAAUUUCUAAUUAACAAGUUGCUCACAAGAGCCUCCUGACAAGAUCUUGAUUGAUGUUAAACAGGGCUCCUUCUGAUUGAGUGGGGUGUAUGUUAGUCAGCAUUCUUUGCACAGGGUUUGCUGGUGUGUGGAACCCCUUUCACUACAGGCUCAUUUAGGUUUAUUUUCUUUUUUUCUCUCUCUUCUCAGCUUUGUAGACUGAUUCACCUCUUCGAAUCUUCAGCUUGAACAGCAGACUGAAAGGCUUAACUAAAAGAUUUUUAUUUCAGCUUUGUGGUAAUUCCAUAUGGAAGAAGAAGUGCUUGAGGUGUAGCAAUAUGCUGAAGGCAGCUGAAGAAUUGAACAACAUGGCCCAGAGUCACACUUUUACAGACACUGGCCUCUCACUAAAAUGCUUAGGUCUGUCUAUAGAGAUGUAACUGCUCUGGCUGCAAAUGUCCCCUUCUCCAAUCAAAAAGAAUACUCUUUAGUGCAUUAUAGGAAUUUGUACCUGAUGUUAAGCAGCUAAAUACUUAUCUAGUGGUGAUGUGCUAUUGUCACCAGUAGCACAAGGCACAUAGUCUUGUGCUUGUGAUAAUAAAGGAGAUAUUCAGAGCAUAUACCUUUGUGAUCAGAGAUCUUUUCAUGGCCCUAGCCCUUUCUAGGUACUUUCAGCCACCUUCAGUUUAUUUAUCAUAAUUUCCUUUCACAUGUCACCCUUUCCUUUUCCCUCAAGUACUUCUGAGCCUUUCUCCAUGCUACUGUUCUCUAAUGAGCCCUCUGCCAUUAGUUUCCAUUCUGUCCUUCAAAACACUGUCAUCAAACCCCUUUUAUCACUUUUUUUCUUUUCUUUUUUAAUGUUCAGGACAUGCUACUAUCUCAAGUAAAUAGAAAAAACAGCAUAAUCAAGAAAAUACUAAGAAAACCAUCCUCUAUACAAAUCUCUAGAUGUCACCAUAUUUUCUUCUUUGGAAAUUUUAACUCCAGCUGAUGUUCUGUCUUCAUUAUCUCCAUUACAGGGUACUCAGAGAGGCCAGGGCCUAUCUUUGCUGUGCCAGUAUGACACCUUGUAUAUCUGAACCUUGAGCUUGGAAAGUGUUUGUGUUUGGCUCCCAGUCAACUUUGGGAUUUAUAGUGUCUUAGAUAUUUGGUCAGUAUUUAAGUGCUUUGCAAGAUCAGCAAUGUAUAAACAACAACUAAUGCUCUCUGGCCCUCAGCCUUUGUCCUUGGCCUAGCAAUCAAAAAUUACUUUGUAAGGUAAGUAUUUUAUAAGGGAUGAAGAUGUGAAAACUGCUGAUGCCUGAGCCAGCAGGAGGACAGCAAAGGAUGCUUCCAGACUUUCAGUAUUUUCUGUGCUGGUGAUGGUGAGCUGCAGUUACAGUCAGAGGAAGUGAAUUGUAACAGGAAAGUGUGAAGAUGCCCAAGCAUAUUCUGUAUAAUUUCUCUGCUUAGUUCCCUAAGAGAAGAUUAUAUUUCUAAAUUCAUUAGCCCAUUUCUCCACCUUUUGUAGUAUUUAAAUUAGUUAAUUUCAGCCAAAGUUGACAGUGGAUAGGAUUUUCCAAAAUGUUCAACUCUAAAAUCUAUUAUGAGGACCAGUGACUGGAUAGACAGGCAAGAUCCAAAUGCACCAUACCACUAAAGGAAAUUAUUUAGUUCUGUCAAAUACAAAUCCUUAAGAGGAGCAACAGACCAUUUAGUAGCUCUGCUUUGAACUAGUCCUAACUGUGUUGCCACUUACUCAUCCCAGUAGGUGUGGAGCAUUUGAUGCACCCUGUGAGGCAGGACACAGAAAAGCUUCAGUGAUGUUGUGUGUGGGUGGAGAGGCACAGGAGGUGCAGGACAUGGAAUCAGUAGGAGCUGGGAUCUGUUGCUACCACUGCCUGUUGACAACGGGUGGUAUAUUUUGAUAUUUCAACCCUGGAACACUGAAGAAGAAAUGCUUUGAAGGAGGAAUCCUUUAAAGGAGAAAUACAGAAAUUCAAUGCUGUGAUGGCAUCACACUGCUCAUGUUAUUGUGUGAUCAGUUUGAUGAAGGAAAAAGCAUGUCCUUGUAUUUGCAAAGAAUAAACCAACAACGGGCAAACAUGCAAAGACCAUCUGUCUUCCACUCUGGAUAAAUCACUUGGAACUAAAGAGUGUUUCUUUGGUUUCCUUUUUUUUAAGAUCUUAUACUAGCUUUUCUUUUCAAGUGUGUUUUGAAGAGGAGGCCAUCAUCAGGGAGUUUGGUAAGACUUUUCCCGGGGAUUUAAGAAUUAAGAAUAGCUGAUGGAAUAUCCUGGGAACUCUGUUUCAUCGCGGAAUAUUUUGUGCGUGCCUUGUGGUCCUGUGAGGGAGGUCAGCACCCUUUCUCUGGCUCCUUGACCCUGAGACCCUUCAGCUGUGCUUGUGGACCUUCCAGCCUGUCCUACUCUCCACCUCACCUGAUCUCUACCCUCCCUGGACCUUCUACUGUUCUGUAAUAAACCCAGUUGGAUUCCUUGA